CCUACGGGAUGCACCAGUGGGAAAUAUUGGACAAUGGGCGAAAGCCUGAUCCAGCAAUGCCGCGUGUGUGAAGAAGGUCUUCGGAUUGUAAAGCAUUUUCGACGGGGACGAUGAUGACGAUACCCGUAGAAGAAGCCCCGGCUAACUUCGUGCCAGCAGCCGCGGUAAUACGAAGGGGGCUAGCGUUGCUCGGAAUGACUGGGCGUAAAGGGCGCGUAGGCGGUUUAUGCAGUCAGAUGUGAAAUCCCCGGGCUUAACCUGGGAACUGCAUUUGGGACGCAUAGACUAGAGGUCAAGAGAGGGUUGUGUAAUUCCCAGUGUAGAGGUGAAAUUCGUAGAUAUUGGGAAGAACACCGGUGGCGAAGGCGGCAACAUGGCUCGAUACUGACGCUGAGGCGCGAAAGCGUGGGGAGCAAACAGGAUUAGAUACCCGUGUAGUC
rnacentral:rRNA from 1 species